UGGUAUUUUAUGAUUUUAAUGGUUCUUAAUAACAUUUUUGUUCAUUUACCUCGAUUAUGUGUGUAUCUAGGUGUUUAUUACAUUUUCCUACAUAUUUACGUAUUGUGGGGGCUGGUUUGUACAAUCUAAAAGUUUGGGCUGAAAUUGAGGAGAAAUCUACACAUUUAAAGAUUUUGUGCCAAAUUAAGAAGAAUACAAAAGUACAAGGACCUAAGUUGCAAAAACGAAAUUUGGACAGAACUCCUCGGCUUCAGAGAUGUGGAUGAGACGGAACGACGGCAGAAGCAAAAAUGAAACGGAGGACGACGCCGAGUAGAGCUUUGAGACGAGGCUUGGCUGCAGAGAUGUGCUGGUCUGUCGAAGUUCUCGUCGGGCUUCAGAGAUGUGCGGUUCCGUUGGAGAUCUCGUCGGACUUGUUCUGGGCGUCAAGCUAUUGUCGGAGUACAACGGAGAUGAAUUGCAGAGAACGACGUCGAGGAGGAAGAUGUUCUGAUGAUUUCGCGGCGACGAAGGAAAAGACAAACCGCUACGGCUUCUGCUCGAGCUUGGCUGAAGUUCAUCGAUGGUGACGGAGGAGGGCCAAAAAGUACGGCGAAGAAGAACUGCAGCAUAGAUGAUAUGAUGCAUCCACCAUGGAUUGAGAUACCGAAAAAGUGAAAUGUGAAGAAGAAGUUUUUAAUUUUAAUUUUUUGUUUGUUCGUUUCAAAUAAAAAUAAUAAUCAACUUAAUAAGAUGGUAGGACCAUUUUAGUUAGAUGAAUGACUUUAAUUGUAAUGGUUUGGUUUUUAGUUACAAAAAACUACCCCACUAGCAGAAACUGUCUUAGAAUGUAAAUAAAACUUGAAAACUGACCUGCAAUGUAAAAAACUCUUAACUUAACUCCACAACCAGGUACAUACCCAUCAAAGACAUCUUUACAGCCUUUCUUUUCCCUCAGAGUUUGGGGGUGUGUUGU
rnacentral:lncRNA from 1 species